rnacentral:rRNA from 1 species
UGAGGAAUAUUGGUCAAUGGGCGCGAGCCUGAACCAGCCAAGUAGCGUGCAGGAUGACGGCCCUAUGGGUUGUAAACUGCUUUUAUGUGGGGAUAAAGUGAGCUACGUGUAGUUUAUUGCAGGUACCACAUGAAUAAGGACCGGCUAAUUCCGUGCCAGCAGCCGCGGUAAUACGGAAGGUCCAGGCGUUAUCCAGAUUUAUUGGGUUUAAAGGGAGCGUAGGCCGUGGAUUAAGCGUGUUGUGAAAUGUAGACGCUCAACGUCUGAAUUGCAGCGCGAACUGGUUCACUUGAGUAUGCGCAACGUAGGCGGAAUUCGUCGUGUAGCGGUGAAAUGCUUAGAUAUGACGAAGAACUCCGAUUGCGAAGGCAGCUUGCGGGAGCACAACUGACGCUGAAGCUCGAAGGUGCGGGUAUCAAACGGGAUUAGAUACCCUGGUAGUCCGCACAGUAAACGAUGGAUGCCCGUUGUUAGUUCACUUAGGAAUUAGCGACCAAGCGAAAGCAUUAAGCAUCCCACCUGGGGAGUACGCCGGCAACGGUG